UCCGGCGUGGUCUAGUGGCUAGGUUAUCUGGCUUUCACCCAGAAGGCCCGGGUUCGAUUCCCUGCGUCGGAA
rnacentral:tRNA from 1 species